GGAAUUUUCAGCUGGAACAGAAAUUGUCAUAAGAGAAGACUUGAAGUGAAGGAGUACAUUGAUCACUUGAAUUUUAAGGAUUGUUGUUUACAUUUGACUCCAUUGGCACUGUCAGCAUUUUCACGGGACAACCAUCUGGCUGCAUGAUGCCCUGGAGAAUUUGCCUGAAGAUCUGCAAGUUAUUUGUUAUGCUACUAGAAUUAUACUUCUUGUAGCUCUGGACACUGGGGACAGAAAAUGACAAAGAUAUCUGCUAAAAAUAUCUUCUUGUGUGUCAGCUUCUCAGAAUUAUGAGACUUUCAUGAUCAGCUUUGGAAACCAUACUCUUUUCUCCCUCAAUCAGAUUUCUAUGAAUUAUCCAGGAUUGUACAGGAACAUUAUUUAUUGGAAUUAUUUCCCUACUGAGUAUUUCAGUAAUUUAAAAAACAAGCAAACAAACAAAAAAAAAGACAAAAAAUAAAAAGCUUAGAAGCUACUGUCAGCUGCUGAAGAAAGAAUACCACCUGGGUCUUUAUUUGAUGCAUCCAUUCUUACUUUUUCCACUGUAGUGCCAGUGAAGAUAUGAUUGUAAUAUGUUCAGAAGUACCUGCAGUAUCUUCAAAUGAAGUACAGAGGAUAAAAGCACCAACACAAUCCCAGGUCAAGGACUGCAAGUGUUAUUUGUUUCAGCUGUUGUCCUAUAUUAAAGGUACUGAGCAGUGACUGAUGGAUAUUGUCUAUAUUAUGGAGCUGCUGUGUCCCAUUUCCUAAGUCAAUGCAUCUGAGCUGCCAAAAGUGGGAUCACCACAGGUCCCUGCUAGACAUGAUUCACAGUUGGUGCUCAUAGAGCUAGUGUGGAAUAGGUAUUACUUCUCAAGAUAAUAUGAGGCAAAUAAUUUUCUCUUGGUUUUCCUUUCUUGAACUUCAAAAUGGGCCACAGGUGCCAAAUUGGUCCAAAAUCUUUUGUCCCUUAUUCCUAGAUGACAUAUUACCCUUUGGCUUGAAAAGCAAAAGGAGUUCUAUAACCUUGAUGAG
rnacentral:lncRNA from 7 species